rnacentral:rRNA from 1 species
UACGUAGGGGGCAAGCGUUGUCCGGAUUUAUUGGGCGUAAAGAGCUUGUAGGCGGCUUGGUAAGUCGAGUGUGAAAACUCCAGGCUCAACCUGGAGACGCCAUUCGAUACUGCCAUGGCUAGAGUCCGGUAGAGGAGCACGGAAUUCCUGGUGUAAGCGGUGAAAUGCGCAGAUAUCAGGAGGAACACCAGCAGCGAAGGCGGUGCUCUGGGCCGGUACUGACGCUGAGAAGCGAAAGCGU